UCGCCUGUUUAUCCAAAAACAUAGCUUGUUGAGAAUUUAGUAACAAGUAUCUCCUGCCCGGUGCUUUGUGUAAACGGCCGCGGCUACUCUGACCGUGCAAAGGUAGCAUAAUCAUUUGCCCUUUUAUUGGGGGCUGGAAUGAAUGGAAUGACGUGGCUUUUGCUGUCUCUUUCUUUUAAUUGAAAAUUGCUGUUUUUGUGAAGAAGCAAAAAUGUUAAAAAAAGACAAGAAGACCCUAUUAAGCUUUACCCUAAAAUUUUUGGUAGAGUGUUUUUAUUUUAUUAUAUAGUUAUCAUGUUUCGGGGUUUGGUUGGGGUGACCGAAGAAGAUAAAAAUCUUCUUUUUUUUUAAGAACUUUAUGUUUUUUAUUGGGCCAGUAGUUUCUGAGAAUAAGAAUAAGUUACUAUAGGGAUAACAGCGUAAUUUUUUCAAAGAGUUCAUAUUGAAGAGAAAGAUUGCGACCUCGAUGUUGACUUGUUGUAUCCUAUUUUAAAGUACCAUUAAUUGGGACAGA
rnacentral:rRNA from 1 species